GAAGCCGUCGCGAUUGGUCUGUCGUUUAUGUGUGUUGUGUACUUAUUGUUUUUUCUAAUUUUAUGUUUCAAUUAAAUCGGUUUCGUCGCAAUAAUAAUCGUUCGUAAAUACCUACUCAAGAGUCAAAACUUUACACCAGUAUUUUUUACACAUGGUGGCGUCGAAACUUCGGAAGUAAAAUACCAGGCGUAAGUAAAUACAUUUACUUUCAGUAGUCAUA